CCCCUAGAUGUUCUGGGCCGCACGCGCGCUACACUGAACAGUUCAACAAGUCUUAACCUUGGCCGAUAGGUCUGGGUAAUCUUUGAACGCUGUUCGUGAUUGGGAUAGACCUUUGCAAUUAUGGGUCUUCAACGAGGAAUUCCUAGUAAACGCAAGUCAUCAGCUUGCAUUGAUUACGUCCCUGCCCUUUGUACACACCGCCCGUCGCACCUACCGAUUGAAUGGUCCGGUGAAAUCUCGGGACGGCGGCUUGGUCGCUUGCGUCCGACUGCUGAAACUUGAUUAAACCAUNUNAUUUAGNGGAAGGUGAANUCGUANCC
rnacentral:rRNA from 1 species